UCCUAGGUGGCUCAGUGGUAGAGAAUCUGCCUGCCAAUGCAGGAGACUUAGGUUUGAUCCCUGGGCUUGGGAA
rnacentral:tRNA from 1 species